rnacentral:rRNA from 1 species
GACGAACCGUGCGAACGUUAUUCGGAAUCACUGGGCUUAAAGCGCGUGUAGGCGGGAGGGCACGUCCGUCGCUGAAAUCCCCCGGCUCAACCGGGGAACGGGCGCGGAUACGACCUUCCUGGAGGGGCGUAGGGGGACCUGGAACUUCCGGUGGAGCGGUGAAAUGCGUUGAGAUCGGAAGGAACGCCCGUGGCGAAAGCGAGGUCCUGGACGCCUACUGACGCUGAGGCGCGAAAGCCAGGGGAGCGAACGGG